AACGAACGCUGGCGGCAUGCCUAACACAUGCAAGUCGAACGAGACCUUCGGGUCUAGUGGCGCACGGGUGCGUAACGCGUGGGAACCUGCCCUUAGGUUCGGAAUAACUCCCCGAAAGGGGUGCUAAUACCGGAUAAUGUCUUCGGCCCAAAGAUUUAUCGCCUUUGGAUGUGCCCGCGUUGGAUUAGCUAGUUGGUAGGGUAAAAGCCUACCAAGGCGACGAUCCAUAGCUGGUCUGAGAGGAUGAUCAGCCACACUGGGACUGAGACACGGCCCAGACUCCUACGGGAGGCAGCAGUGGGGAAUAUUGGACAAUGGGCGAAAGCCUGAUCCAGCAAUGCCGCGUGAGUGAUGAAGGCCUUAGGGUUGUAAAGCUCUUUUACCCGGGAUGAUAAUGACAGUACCGGGAGAAUAAGCUCCGGCUAACUCCGUG
rnacentral:rRNA from 1 species